CCUACGGGCGGCAGCAGUGAGGAAUAUUGGUCAAUGGGCGGAAGCCUGAACCAGCCAAGUCGCGUGAGGGAUUAAGGCCCUGCGGGUCGUAAACCUCUUUUGUCGGGGAGCAGUGGUCCGGACGCGUCCGGACCGGGAGAGUCCUCGGGGAAAAAGCACGGGCAACCUCCGUGCCAGCGGCCGCGGUAUUACGGGGGAUGCGACCGUUAUCCGGAUUUUUUGGGUUUAAGGGGUGCGUAGGCGGGCAUUUAAGCCGGCGGUCAAAUGUCGGGGCUCAACCCCGGCCUGCCGUCGAAACUGGGUGCCUUGAGUGGGCGAGAAGUAUGCGGAAUGCGUGGUGUAGCGGUGAAAUGCAUAGAUAUCACGCAGAACCCCGAUUGCGAAGGCAGCAUACCGGCGCCCUACUGACGCUGAGGCACGAAAGUGCGGGUAUCGAACAGGAUUAGAUACCCCGGUAGUC
rnacentral:rRNA from 1 species